AUUGAACGCUGGCGGCAUGCUUUACACAUGCAAGUCGAACGGUAACAGGCCUUCGGGCGCUGACGAGUGGCGAACGGGUGAGUAAUGCAUCGGAACGUGCCCAGUCGUGGGGGAUAACGCAGCGAAAGCCGUGCUAAUACCGCAUGCGACCUGAGGAUGAAAGCGGGGGACCUCCGGGUCUCGCGCGAUUGGAGAGGCCGAUGUCAGAUUAGGCAGUUGGUGGGGUAAAGGCUCACCAAGUCAACGAUCUGUAGCUGGUCUGAGAGGACGACCAGCCACACUGGGACUGAGACACGGCCCAGACUCCUACGGGAGGCAGCAGUGGGGAAUUUUGGACAAUGGGCGCAAGCCUGAUCCAGCAAUGCCGCGUGCAGGAAGAAGGCCUUCGGGUUGUAAACUGCUUUUGUACGGAGCGAAAAGGCUCCCUCUAAUACAGGGGGCUCAUGACGGUACCGUAAGAAUAAGCACCGGCUAACUACGUGCCAGCAGCCGCCGCGGUAA
rnacentral:rRNA from 1 species